UUACAAAACAGUUGUGAUUUUGAGAGGCUUUUCAAGCAAAUACAAAAACUCAGGAUGAAGUUUAGAGAUGAUAUAAUUUAAGUAAAAUAGGAUAAAGUCUAGAUAAAAAAAUUAUCUCAUAUAUUUAUGAAAUAGUUAACCAAAAAUGCUAAUGUAGAAGUCUCUCCUUAGCUUACAUGUUCACCUAGACAAAUUAACUGAACCUGUGAAAGAAUGAGAAUUUAAUUUUUAUAUUUUCUGUGCAAAAUUCAGCUAUUGUCUCAGAGUCUCAUUUAUGCAGUAAGCUUUGCAGGUACAAAACCGAGGUACUUAACAAUUUGUAAAUGUUUUUGUAGAACCUUUAGUAACUUUGGUCCUUUCUUUAUUUCAGAUUCAACGUGUUGCAAACAAACAUAUUCCACCUGUUACAACAAUCUGGCAUAUUACUUUCUUGAUACGUGAUGAUACAAUACCUCUCAGGUUUGCCGAGUAGCAAAGAGAAAUCUGGUUCCACAACUAUCAGGUGACAGUCUCAGAGGAUUUUAGUUCUUCCAGGGAACUGCAGGACAACUGCAAAAGGGGAAGUCUGAGUAACAUGGGCAUGUACAGAGGAGUCCUAAUCCAUGAUCCUGUCUCUUCGGUGCAAUCACAAUACAAAUAUGGAAGGAGAUACAAAACAAAAAUGCAAGAUAUUUUUAGACUUUGUGAGUGCAGAACUGUAGAGGGAAGAUUCUAAUUUGAGUAGCAGGUGUUCUAACUGAAAGCAGAGAUGGACGAAAUAUAUUCUGCAGUCUACUAAUGGCAGAGGACCACUAUUUUGAUGAAAAUGUAAAAAUUAUAAUUGCAAAAAUAUUUACAAAGUUACCUAUGAAAAUGAGGAUGGCGAAUGGAAGGGGUACACACAUUAAUGUAUAUGAUUUUGUGCAAAGUUCUUUUUCACAAACAGAAUAAUUUUCAUGCAUUUGCAUAUUAUAUAAUUGUUUUAUCUUCUAUGGUUUUUAUUCAGUUUAUUUAGUUUGAUGAUCAGUACCCAUCCUAGGGUAAGUAUUGUGGUUAUGUCUGCCUAGGAGAAAUCAGCCAAGAAUUCUAACAACGUACCAAAUCCUCUUCUCAAAGAUAUAAUCUGCAGAGAGCAUCUACUUCAUCUGACAAACACGAUUUCAAUUCAGGAAAUAGCUCACAAUCACUCUAUUGCGUCUGACAUCAGCGGUAUCCAUGCAGCCAUUCUGUGCAAACUCCCUGCUUUUAAAGGUCUUCCCAUCACUGUUAUUGGUCUCACAGAUGAUGAAGUAUGACACUCCAUAAACAAUGAGCUGGGCCUUUUGUAGGCUGCUUUGCUUUUUUUGGCUUCAAACUGCCACUGAAUGUCAAAUCAAUUUGGCUCUCAUUAGAACAGCUUUAUAUGUGCAAAUGUAUUUGUGUCUGGUUGCCACUUUUUUUCUAUUUUUGCCUUCCUUUCCCUUUGCUUUUUUUUCCUCCUCUCCCUUGGAUGAUGUCAUUUUUCUCUAAUCAAAGCCAACACCUGUUUCUCUAAAAUAGGAGCCUCUGUGUAGAGCUCUUUAUCACAAUCUGAGUACACCCUAAAUGGGCUUAUUAUGAAUCAAGUUCCCCCAGAACAAAGAGGAAGUGCUCUGUUACAGUGACAUUGUACAUCAUAGAGCCUGGACAGAGUCAUGAGCUGAUGUAACUUUGACUUUUGACAUCCCAAGAGACUGCUGUCUAGAUAGUGCAAGGUGUUUAAGCCACUGUCUUUGAUAAGUAGUGAAACAAUAAAUCUGACCCUGUGUUUAAGAACAGCUCAAAUGUUACACAAUGCUGUAUCACGCUUGUGGGGUUCUGGGUUUGGGGAUAUUAUUGUUGUGUUGUUUUUCUCCUAACCAAUUAAAGGGAAUACAGAAUUGUGAUUUUGAGGAUUUCUGGCUUCAUAAACACAGACCUGCUUGGGCAAGCUAAAUGAAGAAUGCCACACGGUGAAGGGAAUAUGACAAAAUAAGGGUGACAUAGACCUCCCAGCUAUGAGUCAGUAAAGAUCGGGUCUGAAAGAACACAUUGCAAGUAGUCUGAAUGGCUGGAGAUUAGAAAGGGGAAUUAGUGUGGAAAGCGGGGGAUAUGCUAAAAGGCUGCCGUAAACCCUGUGUUGUGACAUGUAUGAAAGAAACAUAGGCUCACUUUUCUUGCACUUAGGGCCACUUUGCCUUUUAUGACACUUGUCUUAGGGGAACAGCUACUGAAGCAUACUGUGCCUGGAAUGACACUGGAUUUUGUUGAACAAUGGUGUAAAAUUCUUUUUUCUUCUCUAGAAAUACUUUUUUUUUCUAAGUUUCAACACAAGGCCAUUCUCCCUUUUCUUUCCACAUUUUAUACAAGCUGGUAGCAGUGUACAUUUACAUCCAUUUUGGGAGGAAUGUGUAUGUUUUCAAAUAACUACGUAACUAUAUUCAUGUCAGAGGCAUGUUCUAUCCCAGGUAACAAGGCACUUGUAAAUAGUCAAGCUACAUGAUGUGUCCUCUUGCUUGUGUCAUUCCUUUUGCAGAGAACCAGAAGUAAUUUUAACUUCCUUAAAUGGAAAGAUACACAUUUUAGAAGGUGGGGAAUCUACAGGUAGAGAGUAAGAGAGAGACUGGAGAGAAUGCUGAUAACUAUACCCCAGCUCCCUCUAAAUGUGAACAUUUGGCACUUGCAAAGGAAGAAGCUUUCUCUGGAUAUUGAAGGAGAGAAACAAAGGAGAAAGAAACAGCCUUUUCUCAUCACUUGAAAUAAUGGGCUGAAACAUCUUCAGAGGACCUCAAGCUGUCCAAGGAGGGUCCUUGCUCAGUUUGUGAGUGAACGAACUCUGCCGUACAAGGAGACUCUGAGUCAGACACUCUCCAAGGAAAAUGCCUAUUUUCAGAGCUGAAGAAAAGGUUUGCUUGGCUGAGAUACUCAAUGAUUUCAACACUAACUGAAAUACACUGGUAAUCUGCCAUCUGUGAUUUUCUUGAGUAGAAAAUUUUGACUGAAGUCCAGGUCUUAGUAGAUAUGAGGCCACAUUAUAAAAUCUAUCCUCCUACUCGAUAUCAUCCUUCAUAGUGUCUUACUAUGUCACUGCCUUGGGAUUAAGUACCACAGCAAAGUAUGGAAAAUGUGGGUACUUCAGUUGCCAAGUCAUUUCUUGGUCUCUACUGAAUCUAUCUAUAGUGAAUAUUUCAUUCCUGACAUCUAUUCUAGCCAAGGGAUUGUGAAAGCAUUUUUUUGUGUGCAAUAAAUUUGCAUAAACACCCCACCGCAAAUAUAAUGAAACAGAAAGGAUAAGAAGGACCUAAAUUAUAUUUUUUAAAAAUAUUAAAAGACUUCUUGAUUGAUUUGCAGAGGCAUAGCAAAAUUCCUUCAUAUAGUGGCCUCAUGAAUGAGAUGAUAAUAUGCAAGUAAAGCAUAAUGAUUGGCAUAUUAAAUACAAGAUCUUUGUCACCAUCUGUUUCCUGAUUGUGUCAGCAAGUUGUUUUUUUUUUCAUAGAAGUGUGAGAAUACACCAUGGCCUCGAAGUAUCAAAAUGUCAAUUAUACAUCACAUUUUAAAGUUGGAAGCCUAGAUCACAAAAAAACAUUUUGAAAUGUCCCUGAAUUCUGCUUGAAACACUGACAAAUUAUUACCUAUCCUUCACAUUUAGCCUUGGAGUACAUUAACAUGGUUAUUGUGCUGGAAAGUAAAACACUGUAGAAGCCAGGUUUACAACUUAGUAGUGAAUACUUAAAAAAAAAAAUGAUACAGAAGGAGACAGGGAAAGAACUAAGAAUUCAAAAUGAAUAGUUUCAGAACUCUAUCAAAUACUUGUUAUGUGAAGCUCAAGUACUUUCAGUUUUCCAUUUCUGAUAUUUUCCAUUAAAAAUAAUAUUCACUUAUAAGGAAGAUAGUAUUCCUUUUUCUAUGUUUUCACCAGUACUGACAGGAAAGAACAAAUACAUCCUGGUUAGUGUAAUGACUCAGUAGAAACUGCAAUAGAAAACCUCUGUCAAAGCUAGCUAAAAUGCAGGAUGCUUUCCUUUAAUACAACAGGUCUUGGUUUACACCCUCAGUGGUCUUAUAUGAGAAUUGGUGGGAGAUAAUGUUUUUAUGUCGCACACAGGAUGAGGUCUACUUAGCACCAUCAGCUACGAGUAUCAGCAGCCUAGAGGUGAAGGCUUCUGAUUCUGUUUUUUAAAUAUAAAUACAAGUCCCUUCCAAAGCUGAAAAGGCCACUAUUGUCUGAAGGUAUUAUUUCUACUAAGGGGAUGAAACAGAGGGAAUAUGUAUCAUGUAAACUGAUUGUUCACUCACUGAAGAUACUGAUAACAUCAUCAAAUAAAUGCAGUGGCCUUUA